UGGGGAAUUUUGGACAAUGGGCGAAAGCCUGAUCCAGCAAUGCCGCGUGUGUGAAGAAGGCCUUCGGGUUGUAAAGCACUUUUGUCCGGAAAGAAAUCCUUGGCUCUAAUACAGUCGGGGGAUGACGGUACCGGAAGAAUAAGCACCGGCUAACUACGUGCCAGCAGCCGCGGUAAUACGUAGGGUGCAAGCGUUAAUCGGAAUUACUGGGCGUAAAGCGUGCGCAGGCGGUUUGCUAAGACCGAUGUGAAAUCCCCGGGCUCAACCUGGGAACUGCAUUGGUGACUGGCAGGCUAGAGUAUGGCAGAGGGGGGUAGAAUUCCACGUGUAGCAGUGAAAUGCGUAGAGAUGUGGAGGAAUACCGAUGGCGAAGGCAGCCCCCUGGGCCAAUACUGACGCUCAUGCACGAAAGCGUGGGGAGCAAACAGGAUUAGAUACCCUGGUAGUCCAGCGCCCUAAACGAUGUCAACUAGUUGUUGGGGAUUCAUUUCCUUAGUAACGUAGCUAACGCGUGAAGUUGACCGCCUGGGGAGUACGGUCGCAAGAUUAAAACUCAAUGAAUUGACGGGUCAUAGCUG
rnacentral:rRNA from 1 species